UGGAGAAUGCUUGCUCAUGAGGAGGAGGAUCAGUGCUGAAGAGUUCAUGCAUCAGAGCCUGCCCUACCUGAGGGACUCUCAGUCCUCGGUGCGCCUGGCGGCCGUCAGGUUCAUCAGGUGCGCCACGAGGCACAUCAGGGAGCAGGAUUUGGAGACUCAGGCUCACAUCCUCAGUGCCCUUCAGCCCUUAGAGGGAGACAG